ACAGUCAGGGCCAGGGAGGAGCAGAAUCCUCAGAGGAAGAUGUGGAUCCUCUCCCAGACAGCCGGGAGGCAGGUGGGACACAGGGAGGAGCAGAUCCUCACUCAGACAAAGAUGGGGAUCCUGCCCUGGGUGGAGGGAGGAGCAGCAUCCUCACUCAGCCAAAGAUGGGGAUCCUCUUGGGACGGCCUGGAGGCAGAUGGGGCACAGGGAGGAGCAGAAUCCUCAGAGGAAGACGCGGAUCCUCCCUCAGACAAAGAUGUGGAUCCUCCCUCAAAGAUGUGGAUCCUCCCUCAGACAAAGAGGCGGAUCCUCCCUCAGACGAAGAGGCGGAUCCUCCCUCAGACGAAGAGGCGGAUCGAAGAGGCGGAUCGUCUCGCGGAUGGAAGGAGGAAGGAGCAGAUCCUCAGACAAAGAUGUGGAUCCUCUCCUGGAUGGCCUGGUGGCAGAUGGGGCACAGGGAGGAGCAGAAUCCUCCCUCAGACAAAGAUGCGGAUCCUCCCUCAGAGGAAGACGCGGAUCCUCCCUCAGACAAAGAUGUGGAUCCUCCCUCAAAGAUGUGGAUCCUCCUCCCUCAGACGAAGAUGUGGAUCCUCCCUCAGACGAAGAUGUGGAUUCCCCCUCAGACGAAGAUGUGGAUCCUCCCUCAAAGAUGUGGAUCCUCCUCCCUCAGACGAAGAUGUGGAUCCUCCCUCAGACGAAGAUUGGAUUCUCCCUCAGACAAAGAUGUGGAUCCUCCCUCAAAGAUGUGGAUCCUCCCUCAGAGGAAGAUGCGGAUCCUCCCUCAGACGAAGAGGCGGAUCCUCCCUCAGACGAAGAUGUGGAUCCUCCCUCAAAGAUGCAGAUCCUCCCUCAGACGAAGAUGUGGAUCCUCUCGCGGAUGGCCUGGCGGCAGAUGGGGCACACGGUCAGCGCCGUGCUGCAGUCCGGGCAGGAGCCGUGCCCGCACUGGAACACCAGCUUGAUCUGGUCGUCGAUGCAGAUGGGGCAGGUGAUCCUCUCCUCCAUCUGCCGGUA
rnacentral:lncRNA from 1 species